rnacentral:rRNA from 1 species
UAGGGAAUAUUGGGCAAUGGGCGAAAGCCUGACCCAGCAACGCCGCGUGAAGGAUGAAGUAUUUCGGUAUGUAAACUUCGAAAGAAUAGGAAGAAUAAAUGACGGUACUAUUUAUAAGGUCCGGCUAACUACGUGCCAGCAGCCGCGGUAAUACGUAGGGACCAAGCGUUGUUCGGAUUUACUGGGCGUAAAGGGCGCGUAGGCGGCAAUUCAAGUCAUCUGUGAAAUCUCCGGGCUUAACUCGGAACGGUCAGAUGAUACUGCUUUGCUAGAGUGCAGAAGGGGCAAUCGGAAUUCUUGGUGUAGCGGUGAAAUGCGUAGAUAUCAAGAGGAACACCUGAGGUGAAGACGGGUUGCUGGGCUGACACUGACGCUGAGGCGCGAAAGCCAGGGGAGCAAACGGGAUUAGAUACCCUUGUAGUCCCUGAGCGGGCUGGCAAGGCGCAU